rnacentral:rRNA from 1 species
GACGAACGCUGGCGGCGUGCCUAACACAUGCAAGUCGAACGAAGCAUAGCAAUAUGCUUAGUGGCGGACGGGUGAGUAACGCGUGAACAAUCUGCCCUGUACAAAGGAAUAGCCUCGGGAAACCGGGAUUAAAACCGUAUGACACUUUAGUAUCGCAUGAUAAGAAAGUCAAAUCGAUUAGAGGUAUGGGAUGAGUUCGCGUCUGAUUAGCUGGGUUGGCGGGGUAACGGCCCACCAAGGCGACGAUCAGUAGCCGGCCUGAGAGGGUGAACGGCCACACUGGAACUGAGACACGGUCCAGACUCCUACGGGAGGCAGCAGUGGGGAAUAUUGCACAAUGGAGGGAACUCUGAUGCAGCGACGCCGCGUGAGUGAAGAAGGUCUUCGGAUCGUAAAACUCUGUCCUUGGUGAAGAAAGGACGGUAGCCAAGGAGGAAGCCCCGGCUAACUACGUGCCAGCAGCCGCGGUAAGACGUAGCGUG